rnacentral:rRNA from 1 species
GACGAACGCUGGCGGCGUGCUUAACACAUGCAAGUCGAACGGAAAGGCCCCUUUGGGGGUACUCGAGUGGCGAACGGGUGAGUAACACGUGAGUAACCUGCCCUUGACUUCGGGAUAACUUCAGGAAACUGGGGCUAAUACCGGAUAGGAAUCCUUGCUGCAUGGUGGGGGUUGGAAAGCUUCGGCGGUUUUGGAUGGACUCGCGGCUUAUCAGCUUGUUGGUGGGGUAGUGGCUUACCAAGGCUUUGACGGGUAGCCGGCCUGAGAGGGCGACCGGCCACAUUGGGACUGAGAUACGGCCCAGACUCCUACGGGAGGCAGCAGUGGGGAAUAUUGCACAAUGGGCGGAAGCCUGAUGCAGCAACGCCGCGUGCGGUAUGACGGCCUUCGGGUUGUAAACCGCUUUCAGCAGGGGCGAAGCUUGUGGUGACGGUACCUGCAGAAGAAGCACCGGCUAACUACGUG